rnacentral:rRNA from 1 species
CAGCCGCCGCGGUAAUACGGAGGGUGCAAGCGUUAAUCGGAAUUACUGGGCGUAAAGCGCACGCAGGCGGUCUGACAAGUCAGAUGUGAAAUCCCCGGGCUUAACCUGGGAACUGCAUUUGAAACUGUCAGGCUGGAGUCUUGUAGAGGGGGGUGGAAUUCCAGGUGUAGCGGUGAAAUGCGUAGAGAUCUGGAGGAAUACCGGUGGCGAAGGCGGCCCCCUGGACAAAGACUGACGCUCAGGUGCGAAAGCGUGGGGAGCAAACAGGAUUAGAGACCCGGGUAGUCCCUGUCUCUUAUAC